UUCAGUGGCUAGUGGGGAGCUGGAAGGAGCCAAAGAUGAUUGGUGACAUUUUAAAAGGACCUGAAAAGAGUGCUGAGAGAUACCUAAGGAGCCUCACAACCCAGAAGAGAAUGGUGCGGGCUUGAAGGAAAAUAUUAUUGGAGCUACAGGAGUCUGCUCCUUGUUAUGUUAUCAGAGGAAGUUUGACAAUAUUCUUGACUGCUAUAAUACAAAAAAGAGAAAAUGAGCCUCACAAGCAUCAAGAUAGCUAAGAAGAUCUCCAGGCAUAAUGUUAAAAUUGCCACCUGACUUCUUUAAUAUUGAGGGAUCAGGACCUACUUGGUUUGAAGAAAACUAUUUUUCAUUUCCAGUCUCUCCAGAUGACAAAUGAUUUUCAAAUUAAGAGUGUCAUGCCAAAGUUCAAAUCCUGAAAACGACCAUAAGCUUCAUUUGUAAGGCUUUAGGAAGUUCAAAUAUAGUGCCUCAUGAAAAACUUCAAACAAACAAAGGCUCUUUAAAGAUUUUAAGAAAACACCUUGCAUUUCUCUCCAACAAAAUGCAGGGCUUAUAACAAUAGUAUUUUGUCAUUUAGCUGCUUUUCAGGAAGGCAAGGAUAGAAAAGGGCCAGUCCUAAGAAUAAUUGCAUCUGUGGCUCUAGUCUGCUGGAGUAAAGCACAGUAAGAUUCAUAGAACAGUCACACAGUUUUUAAGAAGGUUAUUUUGGCAUAAGCACUAUCAUCAUAGAAACAAAGGGGCAGAGACAAUACAGAAAGAAACUGAUGUUUGCUCCCAAAAUUUUUACAAGCAGGCUGAGAAGUUUUCUCCAAUGAAAUGAAAGAUCUGUUCCUGUGUAAAAAUGUUUCCAUGUUUGAACUUUUUUACCCUAGCUCAAACGCCAUAUUCUCAAAGAGGCUGUUCUUUAUGAACUGACUGUACUGAGCUCUUCACUGGUCCCUCUGUGAUUCUAUAAACUAAGUCUCAAGCCACACUACCUCUGCAGUAGGUUCCAGUCUCCUGCCCAGUGUAUGACGCAAGGUUGAAGACUCAGAGACAGAAUUAAAGAAAGAUAGUGGGGAGCCAGGACAGCCAGUGCUGAAAAGCCAGCAAGGCCCUGAUCAGACCAAGCCACUGAUUUUUAUUGGUAAUCAGAUU
rnacentral:lncRNA from 1 species